rnacentral:lncRNA from 1 species
UUGUGAAUAAGAGAAUAUUGAGAGCAUUUACUCAAACACUUUGUGUGCGCUCUUUCUGUUGUUCUUUUGUUGCUUCUUUUGGCAUAAAUCAUUUCCGCUAUACAAAUUGGUGCCUUGGAUGGGUUUUAAAGGAAUCCUCACUUGAGUAAAGACUGACUUAGGCAAGUUUGGACGAACGGAUCACCUAAGGCCGCAUGGAUCGUGAGACAAAAGAUCUAGCCCCGUGACAAGUGGUAUUAGAGUUAUUGGUUUGAAGGCACCAUUGGGAUGUCGAAAGAAGAGUUCAAACAAAGGUGGGCAGAAAAGUCUUUGAGGGAGAUUGUAACACCCCUUACUCGUAUCCAUCGCCGGAAUAGGAUACGAGGUAUUACCAGAUUUUACCGAUUUUUUUUUAAAACUCAAUAUAACCCCUUUAUAAAUAUCUAAUCCUCCCUGCAAAUUUAAAACCGAGACCAAGCCAACACAACCAAUCUAUUUCAACAUAUUUUCAAGAUAGAUUUAUUGUAUUCAUAAGAUAAUCUCAUCACAUGCCAAAACCAAAAUUUGUUAGCCAUACCAAUGGCUAACCAUACAUUCAUUUCACAUUAACAUCUACUUUACUAGCUUAUACAUGCCAUUGAUUUCCAAAAUAAAGUUUCUUUAUAUACCGAGAUUUUGAGGUUGAUAGUGUGAUGCGUCUCCGACCAAAUCCGACCUCCGAGCCCUUAACACUACAAAACAGGGGAAAAAGAAACAGGAUAAGCACUUUGUGCUUAGUAAGCUCAUGUAACAAGAAUUAUACUUACCUAAUAUUUUCCAUACAAUGUAAUAAACAUUCAUACACCCAUUCCAUACAUUAUUCCCCUAUCAUGCACAAACUCAACAUUCAAAUUAGUCCAAUAAUUUCCAUGUAUCAGUAAUUUAUAUCAUGAUUGAUGAGCUCAUCAAUUCUAUGAUUUCCAUUCCCUUAUUAUUUUUCCAUAUUUAUCCCGUUGAAUUUCUCAAAAUUUCGAUGGAUUUUCAGAGGUACACUUUAGUGUACAAAUCCGGGUCCGUCAAUUCAUAUUCAUGUGCGCACAUUUCCAUUUCAGAGAGCACACUCCCGCGAACCUCAUCCUUACAGCGGGAUUACCAGUCCAGGCUAAAUCCCCUGUAAUAUAAACUCAUAGAGUAUUGUCGGGAUUACCAGUCCAGGCUAAAUCUCCUGCAACGACAAUUACUCUAAUGAGUUUGGAUCUGAAUUACCAGUCCAGGCUAAAUUCAGACCCUAAUUUGGAUUACCCGUCCGAGCUAAAUCCAUUUUCCACAUAUUCUUCGGGAGGGCUAUAUCAGGAUAGGAUCACCCGUCCGGGCUAGAUCCUUUUCACCGUCAAUUCCUUUUCAGAGAUCCAUCGAAUUUUCCUUUCAUUCAACCGGGAUUUAUUUCCUCUUUUCAUCAAGAAUAUCAAUACUUCAUCAAUUAUCAUAUAAUAAACAUCCAAAUCAUAUUCACAUCAAUAACAAACAUUUCAAGCAUUUAGGAAUAUAAUUCAAGUUACACGAACU